UACGUAGGUGGCAAGCGUUGUCCGGAUUUACUGGGCGUAAAGGAUGUGUAGGCGGAUACUUAAGUGAGAUGUGAAAGCCCCAGGCUCAACCUGGGGACUGCAUUUCAAACUGGGUAUCUAGAGUGCAGGAGAGGAAAGCGGAAUUCCUAGUGUAGCGGUGAAAUGCGUAGAGAUUAGGAAGAACAUCAGUGGCGAAGGCGGCUUUCUGGACUGUAACUGACGCUGAGGCAGGAAAGCGUGGGGAGCAAACAGGAUUAGAUACCCUGGUAGUCCACGCCGUAAACGAUGAGUACUAGGUGUAGGAGGUAUCGACUCCUUCUGUGCCGCAGUUAACACAAUAAGUACUCCGCCUGGGAAGUACGGUCGCAAGAUUAAA
rnacentral:rRNA from 1 species